CAGUGGGGAAUUUUGGACAAUGGGCGCAAGCCUGAUCCAGCCAUGCCGCGUGCGGGACGAAGGCCUUCGGGUUGUAAACCGCUUUCAGCCGGAAAGAAAUCGCUGUUUUUAAUACAGACAGUGGAUGACGGUACCGGAAGAAGAAGCACCGGCUAACUACGUGCCAGCAGCCGCGGUAAUACGUAGGGUGCGAGCGUUAAUCGGAAUUACUGGGCGUAAAGCGUGCGCAGGCGGUUUUGUAAGCCAGACGUGAAAUCCCCGGGCUUAACCUGGGAACUGCGUUUGGAACUGCAAGACUAGAGUGUGUCAGAGGGAGGUGGAAUUCCACGUGUAGCAGUGAAAUGCGUAGAUAUGUGGAGGAACACCGAUGGCGAAGGCAGCCUCCUGGGAUAACACUGACGCUCAUGCACGAAAGCGUGGGGAGCAAACMGGAUUAGAUACCCUGGUAGUCCACGCCCUAAACGAUGUCAACUGGUUGUUGGGAGAGAAAUCUUUCAGUAACGAAGCUAACGCGUGAAAGUGAC
rnacentral:rRNA from 1 species